UACGUAGGGUGCAAGCGUUAAUCGGAAUUACUGGGCGUAAAGCGUGCGCAGGCGGUUGUGUAAGACAGAUGUGAAAUCCCCGGGCUCAACCUGGGAACUGCAUUUGUGACUGCAUCGCUGGAGUGCGGCAGAGGGGGAUGGAAUUCCGCGUGUAGCAGUGAAAUGCGUAGAUAUCUGGAGGAACACCGGUGGCGAAGGCGGCAUCCUGGACCGGCAUUGACGCUGAGGCGCGAAAGCUAGGGGAGCAAACGGG
rnacentral:rRNA from 1 species